rnacentral:tRNA from 1 species
GUUUAAGUAGCUUAUACCUAAAGCACCAGUCUUGUAAGCUGGAGAACAGAGGAUAGUACCCUCUCUUAAAUC